rnacentral:rRNA from 1 species
AGUCGUGCGAGAAAGUAUCUUCGGAUAUGAGUAGAGCGGCGGACGGGUGAGUAACGCGUAGGAAUCUACCUAGUAGAAGGGGAUAGCCCGGGGAAACCCGGAUUAAUACCGUAUACCUCCUUCGGGAGAAAGAAGGCCUCUCUUUGAAGCUUUCGCUACUAGAUGAGCCUGCGUAAGAUUAGCUUGUUGGUGAGGUAAAGGCUCACCAAGGCUACGAUCUUUAGCUGGUCUGAGAGGACGAUCAGCCACAUUGGGACUGAGACACGGCCCAGACUCCUACGGGAGGCAGCAGUGGGGAAUAUUGGACAAUGGGCGCAAGCCUGAUCCAGCCAUACCGCGUGUGUGAAGAAGGCCUUCGGGUUGUAAAGCACUUUAAGCAGGGAGAAAAAGUUAUAAGUUAAUACCUUAUAACCCUGAUGUUACCUGCAGAAUAAGCACCGGCUAAUUCCGUGCCAGCAGCCGCGGUAAUACGGAAGGUGCAAGCGUUAAUCGGAAUUACUGGGCGUAAAGCGCGCGUAGGUGGUUU